rnacentral:lncRNA from 1 species
UGACCUUUCUCUGUCACUUCUCCGAGUUUUGAAAAACUCACAAUACUUUAAGGAACAAUACCUAGCCUUUCUGAUGACACAAUGAAUUCCUGUGCAUUCCAAUCUUAGAAUCUGUAGGGCAUGGAGACUGCUCUGUGGCACAACUAGAGAAGGAGAGUAAGAUGUGGGGGACAGUUGGAAGAGUGGUAAAGCAGUAGAGGCAGAAUGCUCAUUUUGGUAAUCAAGGAGCACCAAGGCAAAAAUUUGCUUUUCUGAGUUCACAUCACAUGUGUGAGUAAAGCUAACGAAAGGGGGGUGAGGUAUGUACAGCUGCAUUGGGAACAUGGCUAAUUCAAGGCAAACUCGUUUGGCUCAGAGGGAACAACCAGUUACUUCAGGCAAGCAGCAGAAGCCCACUUGUUAAUGAGCAGCUGGUUCCUGUUGAAUGCCAUCAGGAUGAUUCAGCCACCCACCAGGAACACCAGUAACAGCAAGUGCACGCACAGAAAUCUGCAAAACUUUCUUCUUUUGAUGCCAACACUAUUACUCUGGCAAAGUCAAAACCCUUUAUGGAUUUACCAGUUCAACUAAAUGUGACCUUGUUCCCCUCACAAAUACCAGCUCACUCUCAAAUAAACACAACUUCUGGCUGAUUAAAAUGCAACGUUCUUCCACAGUUGAGUGCACCCUGCAGUGAGUCCCUCCUCUGUGCUGUGUCUACAUUCUCUCCCUUUUUCAUUUUUUCACUGUUCAAUGAAACUUCAAAGGAUGAAUGAGAUCCAUAUACACUCAGAGUCCACCUUGUAUGUUGUCCUGCUUACUGCUGACCACAUGCAUUUAAAGUUAUGCCUCAAGUUGUUUUAUUGUUUCUAUUUUUAAGAAGUUUUCCAUUUCCACAGAAUGUGGUAAUAUGCCUUGAAAAACAGAAAUGUGUAGAUAAACUGUGCUGACCACAGACUUCAUUAAUACAUGAUUUCCAUGCCAUACUCUAGCCAGUUAAAAAUUCUAUACCUUCCUCCUUCAAAUCUAGACCAGAUUACAGACUUAAAGGAAGAAAAUGCCAAAGAUGACAGCUAGCUAUCAAAAAUGUUCUAGUGCCUCAUUUUCAGGUCUCCAAAGUAAAAUCUAAGGGCAUUCGACAAAGAUUCAGGUGCUCUCAAUAGCCAUGAAAAUAUAUGGCUGAAGAGGGAAUCUGUAAAUGUAAUGAAUACACAAUUGGCUUAUAACAGAUGCAACCAAAAUUAAAUUCAAGAUCUUGACCUACUCUUCAAAGUGAAAGUUUUUAGUUCAUGCUACAGAGAG